AUUCCAUGAUGAGGACACUUUCUCAGCAAUUCCUUGAACCUUUACCACGCAUCAUACAAUGAUUCUCCAUCAUUCAGACAUAAAUUAUUGAUCUCACCCCUUAAUUU